UCUUCUAGUCACCUUUCACGUCUUCUGUUGUUUACUUUAAGCAGGUAAAUGAAAAGAAUAUGAUAAUUAUGAGGGGAAUCUAUUAUGCAUCAGGUCUGCCAAACAGUUUCUGUAAUGCUUGUAUAAGGCUAAUGAUUAAGGGAUAUGUAGAACACAUCUAAACCGUGUUGAGUAAUUUUCCCGGGGCAAAAUGUCGCUGUAGUGUGGGACAUUCACGACGUCCCCAUCAUGCACCUUUUAUGGUUAUGUUUCAGUGUAAUGUUACGUUAAGUAUCUGAUAACAGAGAACGUACAGGUGUGUGAAAUGUCCCCACUCAGCAGGGUUUAUUCAAGAUGAGUGAAAUGUCCCCACUAGGCAUAGUCUAUGUGACAGCAGACAGAGGUUGACAAAGCAGGACAAAAUAUGAGAGUAGAAUUCCUUCUCACUAGUCUGGUGUGUGGGCAUGUAUUUGACCCAAGAGGUAGAACAUUUAUUAAAAGAAUAAAAUAUUAUGCAGUGUUUACAUUAAAUUGACUGAUUUACUUUUUGUAUCAAAUUGCAGAUGACUACAUGUGAACCUGACACGCCCUGUGUGAGCUCCCAGUCUGUGCUCAUGUCAGAGCCACAAUGGGAUGAAGCUGCCUGGUUAGAGGACACUGGUCAACAGGUAAUUCAUGUCCAUCACUUAAUGUUUUCCUCUAGUGUCUUCUAGUUACCUUUGAUGUCUUCUGUUGUCUACUUUAAGCAGGUAAAUGAAAAGAAUCCGAUAAUUAUGAGGGGAAUCUAUUAUACAUCAGGUCUGCCAAACAGUUUUCUGUAAUGCUUGUAUAAGGCUAAUGAUUAAGGGAUAUGUUGGACACAUCUAAACCUUGUUGAGUAAUUUUCCCGGGGCAAAAUGUCACUGUAAUCUGGGACAUUCACGACGUCCCCACAAUGCACCUUUUAUGGUUUUGUUUCAGUGUUAUGUUAUGUUAAGUGUUUGAUAACCGAGAACGUACAGGUGUGUGAAAUGUCCCCACUCAGCAGGGUUUAUUCAAGAUGUGUGAAAUGUCCCCACUACGCAUAGUCUAUUUGACAGCAGAGAGAGGUUGACAAAGCAGGACAAAAUAUGACGCUAGAAUUCUUUCUCACUAGUCUGCUGUGUUGGCAUGUAUUUGAUCCAAGAGACAUGUCUUUUAGAAAAUGUCUUAAAAUAAUAUAAUAUUAUGCAGUGUUUACAUGAAAUUGACUGAUUUACUUUUUGUAUCAAAUUGCAGAUGACUACAUGUGAACCUGACACGCACUGUGUGAGCUCCCAGCCUGUGCUCAUGUCAGAGCCAAAGUGGGAUGAAGCUGCCUGGUUAGAGGACACUGGUCACCAGAAGAGGAAACUGUUGGAGGCACGGAGGGGGAAUAAAAUCCCAGCAAAACAGAGACGCAAACUGCCACCAGCAGAAGAUGGAGCAUCUUUUCCAGUCUGUGCUGUGAGCCAUGUUCUUCCAAAGGAAAGGCUCCACUCAAAAGGGAACCAUGGCAGCCAGCAGAGAUAAAGGCCGUCGAGAGGCACAUAAAGGCUUUAAUACAUGCUUGCACUGUGCCAAAAAUGUCUAACUAAACUAAAUCUGUAGGUGGCGAAGAAGUUAAAGCUGCGUCACGCUUUGAACUAAACACUUUUUCCAUCUAGUGUCGACUGGGUUUUUGGAUUGUCGGUGCCAUUAAAGUAGCAUUAAUAAUCGUCGUAAUAAUCCUAACGAUUAUUAAUGCUACUUUAACGGCAUAGACAUUCCAAAAACCCAGUCGACACUAGAUGGAAAAAGUGUAUAGAACAAAACGUGAUGCAGCUUCCCUUUUUUUCUUCGCAACCUACAGACUUUGUUAUGUACGAUUAUUCAAACACGCCAUGUUAUUUAAUAUAGACAUUUGACCGAGGGAAACGGAGCCUCAGAGGUCGAACUUAUUCUCUCGAGGUCUAUGUGACUUCCAUUUAUAUUGUGACUAUUCUGUAUCUUGAUGCCUCUUCCUGGCCCACAAGGAUACACCAGCAGGUUCUGACAUGUAUUAACCGCACUCUGAUGGCUCGAGUCUGUGCGUGAUGUGUGUCUAUGCUAAUGUAUGUAUGUGCUGGUAUACUUUUAAAAAUAAAGUAUCAAUGCAUCUAAUUCUCCAUCCGUCUCUGGUGCUAUUUACUGUGGACCCACACCUGUUUGGGAGAUCCCUCCCAUGUGUGAGGGUGGCAUCGAUGGUGUUGGUAAAAUAAAAACCCAUACACACACAUAGUGCACGGUAAUAUCAUGAAAUAAGUUGGUAUCACGCCACAUAUAGAUGGUGGAUGGCCAAGAGGAACAUUUGCAGAGGGCAUGGCCGCCCCUGGUUCCAGGGGCUCUCGGAAAUUGAGAGGUUAAAACACCUUGGCCCUCUGGCUAUACUCUAUAUACUCUCCUCGGGCUAUAUAUAUUUAUGUACAAUCAGGUCCCCAUUAGUCACCAAAUAAUCUGUGUGAAAUAUUCUAAUUUAUGUAAAUGAUGUCCCCUGAAAGCAUGUUUACUGGUUCUUCCGGAAGUCCCCAUAAAGCCUGGUUAAACCAUCACUUCAUCAUUUCAGAGUUUUGAAGUUGUGUAUAGGUUAACUAAGCUAUGGCAAGUUUACUGAAUUUUUUUCAGCUCUCUACAACCUCUGGAAAGGGUGGUCCUCACAAGUGAUGAUUAUAAAGGUCGUCCUCAUGAGUGAUGAAAACCAGUAUGUGUGUGUGUGUGUGUGUGUGUGUGUGUGUGUGUGUGUGUGUG